AAUGAAGGAACUGACAGGCUGUAGGAAUUACUGAGCUAUUAGAUCAUCUCAGAGAAAGUGUGAUACUCAAUGGGGAGGAGUGAGUAUUUUGACUGUUCCUUUGCUCAGCAUUCUUGAACAGAACACUCUCUACUUCCCAUACCAGAUGGAGGUGUGGCAGCAUAUUGAAGUCAUUGGCAAAGAAGGAAGAGGAAUAUUGUAAAUCAUUCCAAAGUGGAGACACCUUGAGGGAAUCCCUGGGGAAUUAGCCAAGAAUGUGUUGUAGAAGGAAAGGGAACCAUAAUAUUUAUCAGUUGUUCUUAGUCAGAAGAUGAAAAGAAAUGCAGAUAUAUAAAGAUGAAAAGAAAUGUCGGAAAGCCUGAUUUAUAUUAUGAGCAAAACAAAUGUCAUUGUGUCUUUCUAAUAAUUAUGAACCCUAGACAAAAAGUGGAUACGUUUUAAAAUCCCCAUGUUGAAACUGGAAUUACUAUUGCAAUAUACCUCAGUAAUGCAAAGACUGAUUUAAUUUCUCUCACAAAAGAUAAAACAAUUUAUCGAUGGCAUUGACCGGGGAAGUGGCUUGCUAGGUAUACUGUGAUGAAGAAAAUAUUCUUGCCUUAUUUUAUUUUUGAAUUGAUUUCUAAUUUAAAGAAUAGUAUUUUUUUUAUCAUUUGCCAAUAAGGCAGCCUUAAACUAUUGUCUACAUUGUAUCAUGAGAGAUGAUAAUAUACACUGGGGUUCAGUAUCAGUUAAUGUGGCCAUAAGUACCUUGAGAAAAUAAUUAACAUUAAAGUAGGAGAAAAGAAACUGGUAAGGGUAAUUGCCAAAACCCUCAUUAGCAAGAACACUAAAUAUUCAAUAUAAUGAAGGAAUAAUAAAGUAAAGAUAACACCGGUUCUUAUGGAAUGUUAUAUAUUUAAUUCCAGGAUGGGAGGACCAUUUUGACUGGCAACAUUACAAAAUCCUGUUUCCCACUCUUUCCCUUAGCAACUGGGAAUUUUCAUCAAGUCCCCGCAGAAGAUUGUGCUUCGGUUCAAUUAUGACAUAGAUCAUUUGGAAGUGUAGCUUAUUUUUAAUUUUGAUGAUUUUACUUACUCAAUAAGCACACUACAUAAGAAUAAUCCUAAUUAUUCUGUUUUUGAGGACACUAUUUUCAUUUAUUAACCACCUAUGCAAUGAAGAAUUGAAGAUCUAUCUAUACUAGGGUGACCAACUGUCCCAAUUCACCUAGGACUGAGAGGGCUCCCACGACAUGUGACUUUCAGUGCUAAAACUGGAAAAGACCUGGGAAAACUAACAAAUUGUUCAGCCUAAUCUAUAGCCAUGGGUCAGAAUAGCAAGGUAACAAUUAGGAUAAACAACUCUAUAAGGUAAAUGUAGCAGACAAAUCAGCUACUUCAAUGGGAAAAAAGUUUGAUUUAUGACCAAAUUGUCAAAGAAAGUCUGGUAAGAACUAAGGAACAAUGGAAAAUUAAUCUCUUGUGCCUAGAGAAUUGGGAACUUGGACUAAAUGCUAUUAUUGGCAAGAGUUUUACUUCAUUCUUCACAGUGUGAUUCUCAUCCAGCUCUUUCAAAAGGGUAACGAUAUUUAAUACAAUAACUGGAAGUAAAGUGGGUCAUAAUUAUGAUCAUAAUGAGGAUACAUCUUCUAAUGCUCCUCUUGAAUGUGUUUAAUACAUCCAUAAGUUAUUUGAAAGAGAGAUAAAUUCUGUCCUCUACAUCUCAUGGUACUCUGUGCAGUGUUGUGCAAACUCUUCAUCAGUUAAUCAUCAUUAAGUCCCCUUUUGUUGAAGACUUAUUUUAUGUCAGUCACUGUGCUAAGCACUUCAACUGUAUUACAUCAUUUAAUUCUCAUGACACUCUUUUGGGGGAUGUGGUGUGCCCCGAAACCAGCUUGCCUCCACUUAAGAGAACUGAUUGGAUACGUCUCUUCCCAUCUCCUUUUUCAGAGAUUCCAUGUUUUUAGCUUGAAAUGGGUCAUGGUCCAAGCAGUUACACUAUAGAAAUUGGAAAAAUACUGAAAAAUAGGGGACUGUUUGUUUGUUUUGAUUAGCUGCAUUAUUAGCACUACUGGAGAUACGUAUCAUUACCUCCAUUUUCAGAUGAGCUAUAUGAGUUCAAAAAAGCUAAGGAACGGCCCAAAUGCACUCAUCUAAUAAAUAAUACAGCUGUCUGCAUGAUUCUAAUGCAUACAUGUUUUAUAACCAGGGUACUUUGCCUUUCUCAUGAAAGUACUAAAAUUUAUUUUUUUCUGCAAUGUUGUAAAAUUGCUGUCUGUACUAUAUGACAGAGAAAUCACAUCACCAUUUAUGUCCCUCUGUACUUUUGGACAAUUUUAAAUUAGUUUCUCUGACUUCACC
rnacentral:tRNA from 10 species